rnacentral:rRNA from 1 species
AGCGGCGGACGGGUGAGUAACGCGUGGGUAACCUGCCUCAUACAGGGGGAUAACACAGGGAAACUUGUGCUAAUACCGCAUAACAUAACGAGGCGGCAUCGCUUUGUUAUCAAAGGAGCAAUCCGGUAUGAGAUGGGUCCGCGUCCGAUUAGCUAGUUGGUGAGGUAACGGCUCACCAAGGCGACGAUCGGUAGCCGAACUGAGAGGUUGAUCGGCCACAUUGGGACUGAGACACGGCCCAGACUCCUACGGGAGGCAGCAGUGGGGAAUAUUGCGCAAUGGGGGAAACCCUGACGCAGCGACGCCGCGUGAAGGAAGAAGGCCUUCGGGUUGUAAACUUCUUUGAUCGGGGACGAAGAUGACGGUACCCGAGGAACAAGCCACGGCUAACUACGUGCCAGCAGCCGCGGUAAUACGUAGGUGGCGAGCGUUGUCCGGAAUUACUGGGUGUAAAGGGCGUGUAGGCGGGGCGCCAAGUCAGGUGUGAAAUUCCGGGGCUUAACUCCGGGUAUGCACCUGAAACUGGUACUCUUGAGUGUCGGAGAGGAAAGUGGAAUU